AGCAGCCGCGGUAAUUCCAGCUCCAAUAGCGUAUAUUAAAGUUGUUGCAGUUAAAAAGCUCGUAGUUGAAUUUCGGGAUUGGCGCAUCGGUCGUGCCUCACGGGGUAUGAACUGGUGCAGUCAAUUUCUCACCUUCUGGAGAACCGCGAUGUCCUUAAUUGGAUGCCGCGGGGAACCAGGACCUUUACUUUGAAAAAAUUAGAGUGUUUAAAGCAGGCAUUUUUGCUUGAAUACAUUAGCAUGGAAUAAUAAAAUAGGACGGCAUGGUUCUAUUUUGUUGGUUUCUAGGACCACCGUAAUGAUUAAUAGGGAUAGUUGGGGGCAUUAGUAUUCAAUUGUCAGAGGUGAAAUUCUUGGAUUUAUUGAAGACUAACUACUGCGAAAGCAUUUGCCAAGGAUGUUUUCAUUAAUCAAGAACGAAAGUUAGGGGAUCGAAGACGAUCAGAUACCGUCGUAGUCUUAACCAUAAACUAUGCCGACUAGGAAUCAGACG
rnacentral:rRNA from 1 species